rnacentral:rRNA from 1 species
AGUGAACGCUGGCGGCAUGCCUAACACAUGCAAGUCGAACGGCAGCACAGUAAGAGCUUGCUCCUACGGGUGGCGAGUGGCGGACGGGUCACUAAUACAUCGCAUACUUCUCUUUCGUGGGUGAUAACGUCGGGAAACUUCUCCUAACACCUCAUAUAUCCUACUUGUUUAAGCACGGGUUCUUCGCGCCUUUUGUGACUGUAUUAGCCGAAGUCGAAUUAGCUAGUUGGCUGGUGAAAGGCCCACCAAGGCGACGAUCCGUAGCAGAUCUGAGAGGAUGAUCGGCCACACUGGAACUGAGACACGGUCCAGACUCCUACGGGAGGCAGCAGUAGGGAAUAUUGGACAAUGGGCGAAAGCCUGAUGCAGCAAUACCGCGUGAGUGAAGAAGGCCUUCGGAUUGUAAAGCCCUUUUGUUGGGAAAGAAAAAAAGCAGGUUAAAACACGGCUGUAAUGACGGUACCGAAAGAAUAAGCACCGGCUAACUUCGUG